rnacentral:rRNA from 1 species
UACGUAGGGUGCGAGCGUUAAUCGGAAUUAAUGGGCGUAAAGCGUGCGCAGGCGGCUUGCCAAGUCAGAUGUGAAAGCCCCGGGCUCAACCCGGGAACUGCGUUUGAAACUGGCAGGCUAGAGUUUGGCAGAGGGGGGUGGAAUUCCACGUGUAGCAGUGAAAUGCGUAGAGAUGUGGAGGAACACCGAUGGCGAAGGCAGCCCCCUGGGCCAAAACUGACGCUCAGGCACGAAAGCGUGGGGAGCAAACAGG